rnacentral:ncRNA from 1 species
AAAAAGGCUCUUUUAAGAGCCACUCAAGACUCGCUGAAAGAGCUGCU